AGUUUUACAAACAUAGUAGCAACCGAAUGAACCAGGUCAACCUCUCUUCCAUUACCAUUUGGCAACUCUGUUCCCUCUAGUGUUUCCAUGUAUUCCUAUAUUUUUGGGUCAUAAACACUGAACACAGAACAAAAUCCAUUGACAGAAAACAAAGACAAUAAAGAUGAAAUCAGAGACAUUGACAUCAGUGCUGGUGAAUCUGGCAGGCAUUAUGGAGAGAGCCGAUGAAUCAUUACUUCCAGGAGUGUACAAAGAAUUCGGUGCUGCUCUCAACGCUGUUCAAUCAUUCUCUCACUCUUUAUCCAUCACUUGUUCAAUCAUUUUGUUACCCUCUCGCUGCUUAUCUUGCCAUACUGCACAUACCCGAGAGACAGAGAGCGACCAAGAAUGGUUGCAUUAGAGGAAUCAGAAAUGCAGCAACUAGAGGUGGAAGAUUGCACAAGAGAAGAAUAUUGUGAAAUUCAUGUUUUAGAAUCAAAUGAGCUGAAUGGUAAAGAACAUAGACUUGGAUGACAAUGAUGAGAAAGUUUUGCUGUCCCGGUAGUUAUCGCUUGCAUUCAUUCAUCAGCUUGUUCAAUUGAAAAAUCAAGUUAUUUGAUGAGUUCUAUAAACUUGUAUAGCUUUUUUGUUACUGGUCCUUAUUGAGUUAUUGUACAUCAAAAAAAUAAGUUUGUUACUUGAAGACAUGAAGUGUCGAGAAAAGCAUGUUCUUGUAUAAAUUUUGGAACAAAUAUGCUGUAAUUUCAAAGCAUGAUACAUUGUGAUUAAGAUUUAAGAAGUUAAAUCCCUAAAAGGAAAAAAAUCAGAUAUAACCGAUGUGUCAUCAUUUUUUGACCCCUUCUGCUAGAAAUGAUAAAAAAAUAUAUGAACAUUGAAAAAUAAUAAUAAGAUGGCAGUUUGUUGGUUGUAAGGGAUCAACUUGAUAUUUUUCAAAUUCACCAACUUGUUGUAUUUUAUAGUUAUAGUUAUUAUAUUCACAUAUCACAUCCAUUUGCACAUGGGGUAGCAGGAUUUUUGUAUAUACAGAGGGACACUUGCACAUAUUGAGGCAACAAAAGCAAAUACCGUUGACCGUCCAAAGCCAUCUCCAGUAUGCAGCAGUUGAGUUCCCGUUUGCUGCCAUCACCAUUUCCACUGAACAUACAGAGUGGUAAUUGGAACAGUUAUUUAUUAAAUUAACAGAAGAUGAAGAUGAAGGCAGAGACAGUGACACUUGUGCUGGUGAAUCUGGCAGGUAUUAUGCAGAGGGCUGAUGAGUCAUUGUUGCCAGGUGUAUACAAAGAGGUUGGUGCUGAACUCAAUGCUAACCCAACUGCGUUAGGUUCUCUCACUCUUUACCGAUCACUUGUUCAAUCGUUGUGUUACCCUCUCGCCGCUUACCUCGCCACGCGACACAAUCGUG
rnacentral:lncRNA from 1 species